GAGAGAACACAGCUCUGUUAGAAUUUCUCUAGCAGGAUUUCUGACUUUGGUAAGAAAACAUAG
ensembl:snRNA Gm22100 predicted gene, 22100